UACAGAGGGUGCAAGCGUUAAUCGGGUUGACUGGGCGUAAAGGGCGCGUAGGCGGACUAUUAAGUUAGAUGUAAAAGGCUCGGGCUUAACCUGAGUAGGCCAUCUAAUACUGGUAGACUAGAGUACAGUAGAGGGGAGUGGAAUUUCCGGUGUAGCGGUGAAAUGCGUAGAGAUCGGAAGGAACAUCAGUGGCGAAGGCGGCUCUCUGGACUGUAACUGACGCUGAGGUGCGAAAGCGUGGGGAGCAAAC
rnacentral:rRNA from 1 species